GAUGAACGCUGGCGGCGUGCUUAACACAUGCAAGUCGAACGAUGAAGCCCAGUUUGCUGGGUGGAUUAGUGGCGAACGGGUGAGUAACACGUGAGUAACCUGCCCUUAACUCUGGGAUAAGCCUGGGAAACUGGGUCUAAUACCGGAUAGGAGCGUCCACCGCAUGGUGGGUGUUGGAAAGAUUUAUCGGUUUUGGAUGGACUCGCGGCCUAUCAGCUUGUUGGUGAGGUAAUGGCUCACCAAGGCGACGACGGGUAGCCGGCCUGAGAGGGUGACCGGCCACACUGGGACUGAGACACGGCCCAGACUCCUACGGGAGGCAGCAGUGGGGAAUAUUGCACAAUGGGCGCAAGCCUGAUGCAGCGACGCCGCGUGAGGGAUGACGGCCUUCGGGUUGUAAACCUCUUUCAGUAGGGAAGAAGCGAAAGUGACGGUACCUGCAGAGGAAGCACCGGCUAACUACGUG
rnacentral:rRNA from 1 species